rnacentral:lncRNA from 1 species
GAGGAGAGAAAACUGUAUGUAUCUUAAACUGUGGACUCUGAAACAACAUCUCUUACACAUAUAUUUAAAUUGGGAUAUGGAUGCAAAAUCAAGGAUUUAUCUUCAGAAAUAAAUAAGCACGAAAUCCAGAUGUCACCUUUGGAUAUUGAGAUACUGGUCGAGUUGCUCUCACUCCCAACUUUGCUUUUACUUGGUAAAUUCUUUCCCCUCUUUGUACGAUCACUUGGGAGCGUU